rnacentral:rRNA from 1 species
UUAAAAAUUUGGCGGUAUUUUAGUCUAUUCAGAGGAAUCUGUUUUGUAAUCGAUAAUCCACGAUGGACCUUACUUAAAUUUGUUUAUUAGUUUAUAUACCGUUGUUAUUAGAAUAUUUUAUAAGAAUAUUAAUUUUUACAAAUUUUUAUAAGAAAAUAUAUCAGAUCAAGGUGUAGCUUAUAUUUAAGAAUUAAUGGAUUACAAUAAAUUUAUUUAGAUGAAUAUAAAUUUGAAAUGUUUAUUGAAGGUGGAUUUGAUAGUAAAUUUAUAAAGAUUAAUAAUUUGAUUUUAGCUCUAAAAUAUGUACACAUCGCCCGUCACUCUUAUUACUAAGGUAAGAUAAGUCGUAACAUAGUAGAUGUACUGGAAGGUGUUUCUAGAAUGUCAAUUUAAAGCUUACUUAGUAAAGUAUUUCAUUUACAUUGAAAAGAUUUUUGUGCAAAUCAAUAUAAAUUGAUUAAAUUUUAUUUAUUAAUUAUUUUAUUAUUUGGUUUAAAUUAUUAAAAAAAAUUAUAAUUUAUUAUGUUUAAGUAUUUUAUUAAGAAAAAAUAAUUUUAAUUAUAGUGUAAUAGUAUUGUGAAAGAAAAUUGAAAUAAAUUGAAAAAUUAUUAUUUUAAAGAAA